CACACUGUUUCAUGGGAAAAGAAACUCCAUGGGAACUUCAGUAUCUUUAUUUUGAGGUUCUACACAAGUUCUUCCACACAUCCUCAGACACGUUGCUGUUCUUAGUUGAGAAGAAACAAAGACAAAAAGGCAUCAAAUUGGAAAAAAAGGGACAACAGGGAUGCAAAAAGAACAGAAAAUCCUGCAGAGGACCAAAUGCCCACUUGUCAAACUACUGAAGUAGGUCCAGUAAAAGUGCUGGUGAGAGAUAUGAACACUCCUAUUCCUAGUGAACUCUGUUUCACCCUUGAGAAACUGUCCUGUCCCACCAAAGACAUAUUCUGUGUCCCAGGCACAGCCAGCCAUGGUAAACAAAAAACCCCAAGUCUUUCUUCCUGCCUUGAGGAUCAGGUAGAGCUGGAACAAUCUGAGCAGCCCUUUGCUUUUAUUUGGCACAGGAUAUUCUGUCUCUUGCAUCAUCAGUGGUGGUUGGGAAGUUUUCCUCUAGGAAGAACAGUUUGCUUGAAUUGAAAAGCUUCUUUGCCUUCCUCAUAGUUUCAAAUAGACUUUCAGAGCUGGAGAGCUUGUGAAGCAGAGUAAGCCAGACAAAGCAGAUGUACCUCUGUGCUGUUUUGUUGACAAGGAGUUCAUUGCAGUCAGUAAGGCCAGGAAUCAGCCUCAAAAAUUAAUACUGGAUACAAAAUCAGCCCUCAAAAAUAAAUACACCUGGCUAAACCUAGAA